UUAAGCGACUAAGCGUACACGGUGGAUGCCCUGGCAGUCAGAGGCGAUGAAGGACGUGCUAAUCUGCGAAAAGCGUCGGUAAGGUGAUAUGAACCGUUACAGCCGGCGAUGUCCGAAUGGGGAAACCCAGUGCAAUUCGUUGCACUAUCGUUAACUGAAUACAUAGGUUAACGAGGCGAACCGGGGGAACUGAAACAUCUAAGUACCCCGAGGAAAAGAAAUCAACCGAGAUUCCCCCAGUAGCGGCGAGCGAACGGGGAGCAGCCCAGAGUCUGAAUCAGCUUGUGUGUUAGUGGAACGGUCUGGAAAGUCCGACGGUACAGGGUGAUAGUCCCGUACACCAAAAUGCACAGGUUGUGAACUCGAAGAGUAGGGCGGGACACGUGGUAUCCUGUCUGAAUAUGGGGGGACCAUCCUCCAAGGCUAAAUACUCCUGACUGACCGAUAGUGAACCAGUACCGUGAGGGAAAGGCGAAAAGAACCCCGGCGAGGGGAGUGAAAAAGAACCUGAAACCGUGUACGUACAAGCAGUGGGAGCACCUUCGGGUGUGACUGCGUACCUUUUGUAUAAUGGGUCAGCGACUUAUAUUCUGUAGCAAGGUUAACCGUAUAGGGGAGCCGCAGGGAAACCGAGUCUUAACUGGGCGUUAAGUUGCAGGGUAUAGACCCGAAACCCGGUGAUCUAGCCAUGGGCAGGUUGAAGGUUGGGUAACACUAACUGGAGGACCGAACCGACUAAUGUUGAAAAAUUAGCGGAUGACUUGUGGCUGGGGGUGAAAGGCCAAUCAAACCGGGAGAUAGCUGGUUCUCCCCGAAAGCUAUUUAGGUAGCGCCUCGUGAACUCAUCUUCGGGGGUAGAGCACUGUUUCGGCUAGGGGGCCAUCCCGGCUUACCAACCCGAUGCAAACUACGAAUACCGAAGAAUGUUAUCACGGGAGACACACGGCGGGUGCUAACGUCCGUCGUGAAGAGGGAAACAACCCAGACCGCCAGCUAAGGUCCCAAAGUCAUGGUUAAGUGGGAAACGAUGUGGGAAGGCACAGACAGCCAGGAUGUUGGCUUAGAAGCAGCCAUCAUUUAAAGAAAGCGUAAUAGCUCACUGGUCGAGUCGGCCUGCGCGGAAGAUGUAACGGGGCUAAACCAUGCACCGAAGCUGCGGCAGCGACACUAUGUGUUGUUGGGUAGGGGAGCGUUCUGUAAGCCGUUGAAGGUGUGCUGUGAGGCAUGCUGGAGGUAUCAGAAGUGCGAAUGCUGACAUAAGUAACGAUAAAGCGGGUGAAAAGCCCGCUCGCCGGAAGACCAAGGGUUCCUGUCCAACGUUAAUCGGGGCAGGGUGAGUCGACCCCUAAGGCGAGGCCGAAAGGCGUAGUCGAUGGGAAACAGGUUAAUAUUCCUGUACUUGGUGUUACUGCGAAGGGGGGACGGAGAAGGCUAUGUUAGCCGGGCGACGGUUGUCCCGGUUUAAGCAUGUAGGCGGAGGUUCCAGGUAAAUCCGGUACCUUUUAACGCUGAGGUGUGAUGACGAGGCACUACGGUGCUGAAGUAACAAAUGCCCUGCUUCCAGGAAAAGCCUCUAAGCAUCAGGUAACAUCAAAUCGUACCCCAAACCGACACAGGUGGUCAGGUAGAGAAUACCAAGGCGCUUGAGAGAACUCGGGUGAAGGAACUAGGCAAAAUGGUGCCGUAACUUCGGGAGAAGGCACGCUGGUGUGUAGGUGAAGUCCCUGCGGAUGGAGCUGAGACCAGUCGAAGAUACCAGCUGGCUGCAACUGUUUAUUAAAAACACAGCACUGUGCAAACACGAAAGUGGACGUAUACGGUGUGACGCCUGCCCGGUGCCGGAAGGUUAAUUGAUGGGGUUAUCCGUAAGGAGAAGCUCUUGAUCGAAGCCCCGGUAAACGGCGGCCGUAACUAUAACGGUCCUAAGGUAGCGAAAUUCCUUGUCGGGUAAGUUCCGACCUG
rnacentral:rRNA from 1 species